rnacentral:lncRNA from 1 species
CCGCCGGCCCUGUAGGACCCAGGGGGAUCCACAGCCCAGUUCCCAUUGAUGAUGGACCGGCCCCCAGGGCCACGAAGUGCUGCGGGUCAGAGACUCCACAGCCAUCAGGACGCCUGCCAGAGCCAAGGAUCCCAUCACAGCCGGGGCUCUGGAGAGAGUGAGUGAGAGCACAAAAACAGCCCCACCAUCCCCAGCCAGACCCAGGGACAUGGACAGGUGCCCGAUCAGAUCCUUCAGGCUCUGCUCAGCGCAGCUUGGCAGACCACUCACCACCUGUGCUGUCUCCUGACCCAGCCCCAGGGAGAAGAAAGAAGGCAUGGCGCAGGGGAAGCAGAGGGGCUGGAAGUCAUUCAGGGCUGGGAGUAAGCAGUAAGGUUUUACACUCGGGACUCAGCGAAAGGACAGCGUGCUGACUUCUGAGUCAGACUGAUCUGGAUUUGAACCUCAGCUCCAGCUCUUGCCAGCUAUGUGGUCUUCGACGAAUACUUCCACCCCUGUGUGGUGCAGUUUGCUCAUCUGCAAAAUGGGACUAAUCUAAUAUAUAUGAUGGGCUUGGAUAUGUCUCUUUAUGCAUUUAUACAUGGAAGAAUGCACCCCAAACUCAGUAGUAUUGGUGACAUCUGGGGAGGGAUGCAGGGUUGGGGGAGGACUGAAAAAGGCUUUUGCUUUUUA